rnacentral:rRNA from 1 species
UGGGGGAUAUUGCACAAUGGGCGAAAGCCUGAUGCAGCGACGCCGCGUGGGGGAUGAAGGCCUUCGGGUUGUAAACUUCUUUUGCUCUGAACAAGGCGCACCAUGGGGUGUGUUGAGUGUAGGGGUUGAUUAGCGCCGGCUAACUACGUGCCAGCAGCCGCGGUAAUACGUAGGGCGCGAGCGUUGUCCGGAAUUAUUGGGCGUAAAGGGCUUGUAGGUGGCUGGUGGCGUCUGUCGUGAAAGAUCAUGGCUUAACUGUGGGUUUGCGGUGGGUACGGGCUGGCUUGAGUGCGGUAGGGGAGGCUGGAAUUCCUGGUGUAGAGGUGGAAUGCGCAGAUAUCAGGAGGAGUACCGGUGGCGAAGGCGGGUCUCUGGGCUGUUACUGACACUGAGGAGCGAAAGCAUGGGGAGCGAAAAGG